UUAUCUGUAUUCAGGCUUUGUCCUUUUUUACAACUGCCUAUGUUCUUGUGUGAAUUAGAUUAGUAGUCUAUUUUUUAUGGCAAAAUUGCAUAAAAAUACUACCAAUAAGUCACUUGGGGUUUGAGAUCCCCCUUAUAAAUCUUGGGAUUGUGAAUGAGUGGCGAAGCCAUGUGGUCAUGGUUGGUGGAGGGCUGGUGGGUGGCGUGGUAUUGGUGUCAGCGGAGUUAGCAUGUGAGGGGUGGUGGGAGUGGAUCCGGCAAUGGAUCGUUGCUGAUUACGGGUUACUGAAUUGAGCAAAGGAAGGAUCAAAGAGAGUAGGCUCAGAACAAUAUUAUUUUGUUUGAAAAUCUUCUUAUAUAGCAGAAUUUCAUUGAGGCAUUGAGAAGUACCGAAUUAGCCAGAAGUAGUAUAUACUGGUGUUGGUUUUUUCUUAAGUGAGCCAAUGCGACUUUAGGCAUCAUAGCAUAGUUCAUAUCAUUUUAAUAUAAUAACAAUCGAUGCUAUGAAAUUGUAAUAUUAAGCUCAUGGGUUGAUAGUAGCUAAAUAUUCUGUGCUGCCACUUUCAGUUAAGUUGGAGAUUUUAUUUAUCUGAAAACAAGUGAUUAAAGAUUAUAGUAUAUGAUUAGUGGCAAUUAAAAAAGUCAUCUUAUCAACUUGUGCUCCAUAUAAAGCAUGUGCAGCUAGAGGAUCCAUAUGUCACACGAAGUACCUUUUAGAGCCAAACUCAUGCAAUCGCUUCCUAUUGCCAGGAUUCUUUAUUUCUGACUUCUUCUGGUUAUUGCAAAAGGAGGCAGUAACUUCUUCAGAAAAGCACCUGCUCCUGAGAUGUUAACCUCUCUAUGUGAUGGGUUGUUCUUUGUUGGAAAAUUAUCAUUUCAAAUAAUGAACAGCCUUGGAAUGAAAGUGCCCUCGCAAUUCAUAGAACAAAUUGCAAUUAAGGAAGUACUACAUAUUAUUCAAGUUGCUAGGGAUAGGAAAUUAGGAAUAUUCAUAUUUAUUAUCCAACAGAUCUCCGGUGCUUUGUUUGAAUCAUAGAGAAGGUCGUAGUGUAAUUUUCUAUAUUAGAAAUUAGAUUGGUUGUUUUUUCUGCAAAUUUUGUCUUAGUUUUCUUUAGGUCGUAGUGUAUGUUCACUUCAUUUUUUUUCUUUCUGCAGAUAUCACAUCAUUGAAACUGAACUUUAGGACAUUUAAUAAAUAUAACGUAAGAAUUAUUCGUAUGAACUAUAUAACAUUUGUCAACAAAAAUGGACAUUUUGCAGGAUUUGUGGUUCAGAUUCGACCUAUUAUCCUCUGCCGAAAAGGAAAGUAGUGGCAGAGUAGCUACUACUGUUUCUUGUACAGAAUAAGACAAUUCAAUUAUGGGACUAGCUAGAGGAGCAAGAAAGAUUAUGAAUUGGAUCAGUGAGUUCAUUUGGUUUUAGUCACCAAUUUUGAGCUUUUUGCACUGCCUGAUGAUUGCAACUCAGCCUCAUCCUGCCAUGCAACCUGCAGUAAGAGAGCCUUAGCUGGCUUUCUAAUUUCAUUUCUCAAACUCACAUCUGAAAUGGUGAUGUUCAAAUGGUAAGAAAAUUUCAUUUGAGGAAUUUUACAUGUCGAUUGUUGUUUCAUUCUUCAUAAUACCAUGUGUAUCUUCUUAACAUGUGCUUGGAUGGAAUGGACUGUCAAACGCUGGAGCCCACAAUAUUUGGUGGCAAAUGGUAAGAAAAUUUCAUUUGAGGGAUUUUACAUGUCGAUUGUUGUUUCAUUCUUCAUAAUACCAUGUGUAUCUUCUUAACAUGUGCUUGGAUGGAAUGGACUGUCAAACGCCGGAGCCCACAAUAUUUGGUGCCCUUUGCCACCUAAACAAUAGUUUUUUUGUUUAACUAGCUUUUGUUUCUUGAUAUUGCAAUCAAUUAGGUAAUACUUUUCUCUUGAUUACUGUAAGACAAUGAUCAAGCCAAAACAUAACUCACUCCUUGAAAAAUGACUAGCAAGCACCCCUACGUGAUUUUUUUUAUUGUUAGAAGUUGGAAAUUCGGCCAGAUGCAGGAACCAAAUAAGCAUGGCCGUCAGCAAUCUUCUUCACUAUACACUAUAGUUAGUAUUAGUUAGUGAUGAGGUCAGUAAGUCAUAUUAGCUUAUGGCCCUUCCAUCUUUGCGUAAGUGCUCCGUUUAAUCCAUUCCUGUUUUUAAUCUUAGUUCUUUUCUGCAGGUAAGGAAGAUCAAAGAGUAGAGCAGAGAGAGCUAGCUCUUAGAUGUAUCAUGGAAUCCAUGUGCAUUGCAAUGUACAUCACUAAAUUGAGUAACAAGAUGCAGAGGUGAGAAACCCUCUCACGAAAUCAUGUAAUUCAUCUUAAUUGUACGAGCAUCGCAAUAAAGUGUGAAUGACUCUUUUAAACUGUCUGCACACCAUGUAACAUAAAAAAAAUUCAGAUUCAGUGAGUUCAAUGUCUGCUAUUUCACAUAUCUUCGUUGCCUCUUUGUUACACUUUAUAGUCUAUUAUGCUAGGUAAUCUGUCUAGGCCUAGUGUUUUUUUCAAGAAUAUUGAAUGAUAUCAUAUCUGCUGUUAUUGUUGUUCAAGACGAGACAAUGCACCACAGCUGUUUGGUUUGAACUUAGAACCACAAUAGCUGUUUGGUUUCAGUCACACUGGUGGCAGAGAUGGCAACUAGGGAGGCGUGUCGAGAGUGCUGGUGCUACCCCAACGAUUGAAGCUUGAUAGAAAACUGGUUUUUGAGGCCUCCUCUUAGGGAAAUGCUCCAAUGAUUAGAUCAUUCUCAAAAGGCCUAGCGAACACUCAGCUUAGGUGUUGAAUCAUGAAGCACUUUGUUAUGUUUCAGUAAUCAGUAUUUUGUAAUUUGUAAUCACGAUGUACCUUGCAACAAAAAAAUAAUUUAAAAAGGAAAUUUUUGAUUGU